rnacentral:rRNA from 1 species
AAUUUAUUUUAUUAAUAUUUUUGUUUUUAAUUGAUUUUUUAUAAAAAUAAUUUAUUUAUUUAAAGUUUUAGUAUUAAUUAAAAAUUAAUUUAUAGAUUUAUAGUUUAAUAGUAUAGUGAAAGAAAUAUUUAGAUUUUAAAAAGAAUAAAUUUAGUACCUUUUGUAUCAGGGUUGAUUAAAAUUUUUAAUUUUUUUUUAAAUUCUCAAAAUUUAUAGAGUUAAUUUUAUUAUUAAUUUAUUGUAUUAUAAAUAUUUAUAAAAUAAUAUUAGUUUUGAAAUUUAAUUCGUUAUAUUAUAUUUAGUUAUUUAAGAUUUAAAUUUAAUUUAAAAUUUUAAAAGUUAUGUUGAUUUUAUUAAUUAAUAUUUUAAAUUUAAAUUAUUUUAGGGAUAAGCUUGAAAUUUUUAUAUAAUAAUUUAUUUAAUUUAAUAAUUUAUAGGAAUAGAAAUUUUUAUUUAAGUUUGUAAAAAUUUAUUAUUUAUUUUAUUUUAAUUUAUUAUAAAUUAUUUAUUUUUUAUAUUAAAUUUUAUUAAUUAAUAAUUAAUUAAUAGUAAUAAUGAUUAAAUUAGUAUAAUUAAUAUUUAUAAAUUAUGAAUUCGGCAAAAAUUAUUUUCAUCUGUUUAACAAAAACAUUGUAUUAAGUUUAAUUUAAUAUAGGAUCUGCUCAAUGAUUUAUUAAAUAGCUGCAGUAUUUUGACUGUGCAAAGGUAGCAUAAUAAUUAGUCUUUUAAUUGAGGACUUGUAUGAAAGAUUUGAUGAGAAAUAAACUUUAUUAUUUAUAUAAUUAAAAUUUUAUUUUUAAGUAAAAAAGCUUAAAUUAUUUAAAGGGACGAUAAGACCCUAUAAAACUUUAUAAAUUUUAAAUUUAAUUUUUUUGGAUUUAUAAAUAUUUUAUUUUUAAAAUUUAUUUUAUUGGGGUGAUAAAAAAAAUUAAUAAACUUUUUUUAAAAAUUAACAUUAUUUAAUGAAUUUUUGAAUUAAAAUUUUUAAUUAAAGGAAAAAGUUACUUUAGGGAUAACAGCGUAAUUAAUUUUUUAAGUUCAAAUUUAAAAAUUAGUUUGCGACCUCGAUGUUGAAUUAAGAUUAAUCUUAGGUGCAAAAUUUUAAGUGUUAGGUCUGUUCGACCUUUAAAUUCUUACAUGAUUUGAGUUCAAACCGGUGUAAGCCAGGUUGGUUUCUAUCUUUUAAAAAUUAAUUUAUUUUAGUACGAAAGGAUUAAAUAAAUAAAUUAAAUUUUUAUUAAAUGAAUAAAAUUAAUUUA